AGAUGUGAAGGCGAUCUGGCUGUGACUUCUGUCACCCCACUGAUCACCAGUGUUGAUUCAGCUGAUCUGGCUGGCUACUUGGGUGUCCCCUUCCUCCCUCACCACUCCAUGUGUGUCCCUCCUGAAGCUGCAUGCUCUCCAAAGAGGAUGGCCUUCCCUGAAUAGAGAUGGGCCUUUGGUUGAGGGUAUGCGAGUAGCUAUGCUUCCCUGCUAGAACCUCCAAACAAGGUCACAAGGAAGUAUUUCUCAUAGUCUAUAUUUGAAGAGAAGUCAAUCUAUUUUCAUAGUAUAAAAUAUUUACAUGUGCUUCCAAU
rnacentral:snRNA from 1 species